CCCCCCCUUAUUAUUAUUAUUAUUAUUAUUCUUAUUAUUUAUUAUUAUAACGAAUAUUUACACAGGCUGGAUAUAUACAUUUCAGCACAAAAGUGCUGUUAUCAAUGUGAGUCUUGUUACACCUUAAGAAUUAAUUAAAAACUAUUAAACUACUACCUAUAGUUAGGAAGUUAGCCUACUACAUAUUAUAACUACUACUUUAUCAUUUAUUUAUACUCAUGGCCCCACCUUUGCCCCCCCCCCUCCCUCUUCCAUAAAUAAAGACUUGUCCCAAACUCCAGGAAAAAUCUGUGCACUUCACAAAACAUUUAUAACAAUUUAUUGCGUUCGCCUCAGGCUGGGUAACCACAACAGAAAUUGCCAAAAUGUCCUUUCAAGGUAGCUUGCAUGUCAGGGAAGAAAAUGGCUGCCCCCAAGCCAUUUGCAAACAAAUUCAAUGUCUUUUCCAGAGAAAUAUGCCAAAUCCCCCAUGAUGGAAAACGUCAAAAUCCUCACCCCCAGCUAGGCUAAAAAUAUCGGCAAUAGCUCCGCCCCUUGGAUUAGGAAAAGCUGCAAAGGCCCGGGGGUGAGGGGAUGGGAACUGCUGGAAUUAACUGAUACAUUAGAUUAUCAAAGCUAAUUUUAAAAUAUGACAAUAACAGACAACUCUUCCGCCAAUAUCUUAAAAAGAAAUAUUCCAAUAAUUUUUCAUUAAUUAAACAGCCAGGAAUUACAUACCAAAUAAUAACAAUGGUUAAAGACUGUGUUAAUCAACAGCAAAGGCAGCAAUUAACAUGGUCAAAAGUAGUUAAAGUGCAAUUACAAGUAUGGAAUAUCAUUACGUAAACAACAAUUUGAUAUUACCUUAAAAAGAAAAGCUACUAAUUCUGACCAAUGGGAAUUUUGUGUGUACUACGAAUCAUAUGCAUUUAUUGUCUCCGUAGCAGGCUUUAUUUUACCCUGUGAGCAAAGUCGUCUCAUAUUUCUUCUCGGCAUGGCACGGAGAAGCGAGAGAGAUUCUGCAAAACUUGUGUAUAUUCUUUGUGGAGCCGACAAUCCAAAAACUUGGAUAAUUAUGUAUAAUUUCAGGUUUGAUACUGGUUUAAUAACUGGUUUUGAUGCCGGAAACAACGAAACCAGAAACUACUUAUUAAAUCUUCUUCUGGGAAAUAGGCAGUUGCUUAGCAACCUUCGCACAUGCUCAAAUGAAUUUCUACCCAAGUUCUGCAGAGUCUCUCUCGCUUCUCCGUGCCGAGAAGAAAUAGGAGAGGACUUUGCUCACAGGGCAGCUUUAUUUCAAGGAUAGAGCCUGACACGCUGGAUACUUUCAAAGUUAACCCCCCCCCCCUACUUUAUUACUUUACUCUGCGUAACACUAGACAAUUUUACUUGAGGACGCCAUAUUCAAUAUAUUAUUCUCACCAGGAAAUUCCAUUUUGUUUGCACCCCUUGCACUAUUGUGUUUCAUUAUGGCAUCUUCAACUUGAAAGAGUCUAUUACUCUGGCCCCAAC